GCCGGGGUGGCGGAACGGCAGACGCUACGGACUUAAAAUCCGUUGCCCGCGAGGGCGUGUGGGUUCGAGUCCCAUCCCCGGCACCA
rnacentral:tRNA from 1 species